rnacentral:lncRNA from 1 species
UUAUUUUUAAAAUGGUUUAUGUAUUGAUUUCUAUUUUCCUUGUGUGUAUGUUUUCUCAGGAAAUAUAUAUGUGCACUUUGAGAAUGCUGUGCCUAUCACCCUGGUCCUCUAACACGCCUAGUAUCACAGCGUCUGGUGUGAGAAAUUGGUCAGGAUUUCAAAACAGAUCUGUACUUCCAGAUUACAGCUAUUGGUGCUUUGCAGCAGGCAAGAGAGGCCUAUCUGCUUGGCCUUUUAAGAUACCAACCAACUUGUGUGCUGUCCAUGCCAAACGGGACUUUGUCACCUUUAAGGAUGUCGCCAUCUUAUUCUCCAGGGAGGAGUGGAGGCUCCUCAAUAAGUCUCAGAAGCAACUGUGUGAUGCUGGAGAACGUUACUUUGCACUUGUAACUUCAUUGGGAUUUGCUUCAAGAUGGUUCUGUGCAGAUUUCUGGCAAGGAGCCUGGGGAUAGCUCUGGAUGCUUUACAGUGAGGUGCAAUCACAGAGGACCUUGAUGAGUUGUCCAGUCAAAAAGGGAGACUUGUUUCCUGUUGCUCUGUACUACCUGCUGUGUGGCAUUUUCCACUACUC